UCCGGUGGCAAUAGCGGCAGGGAACCACCCGUUCCCAUUCCGAACACGGAAGUUAAGCCUGCCAGCGCCGAUGGUACUUGGGGUUGUACCCCUGGGAGAGUAGGACACCGCCGGAC
rnacentral:rRNA from 1 species